rnacentral:rRNA from 1 species
AUUCCAGCUCCAAUAGCGUAUAUUAAAGUUGUUGCAGUUAAAAAGCUCGUAGUUGGAUUUCUGGCGGGAGUCCGGGUCGGCCUUAACGGGUUGCACUGUUGUGACGUCUCGCCGUUUCGAGGGGAAUGGGCUCGCUAUUAGGUUAGUGUGUUCGGGAACCUCGCCGUUUACUGUGAAAAAAUUAGAGUGUUCAAAGCAGGCCUUUGCUGUGAAUACAUUAGCAUGGAAUAAUAAGAUAGGACUGUAGUGCUAUUUUGUUGGUUUGCGUACUAUGGUAAUGAUUAAUAGGGAUAGUUGGGGGUAUUCAUAUUCAAUUGUCAGAGGUGAAAUUCUUGGAUUUAUGGAAGAUGAACUACUGCGAAAGCAUUUACCAAGGAUGUUUUCAUUG